rnacentral:rRNA from 2 species
CACGGGCGGUAGGAGCAUGUGGUUUAAUUCGAAGCAACGCGAGAACCUUACCAGGUCUUGACAUCCUCUGACAACUCUAGAGAUAGAGCGUUCCCCUUCGGGGGACAGAGUGACAGGUGGUGCAUGGUUGUCGUCAGCUCGUGUCGUGAGAUGUUGGGUUAAGUCCCGCAACGAGCGCAACCCUUGAUCUUAGUUGCCAGCAUUUAGUUGGGCACUCUAAGGUGACUGCCGGUGACAAACCGGAGGAAGGUGGGGAUGACGUCAAAUCAUCAUGCCCCUUAUGACCUGGGCUACACACGUGCUACAAUGGAUGGUACAAAGGGCUGCAAAACCGCGAGGGCAAGCCAAUCCCAUAAAACCAUUCUCAGUUCGGAUUGUAGGCUGCAACUCGCCUACAUGAAGCUGGAAUCGCUAGUAAUCGCGGAUCAGCAUGCCGCGGUGAAUACGUUCCCGGGCCUUGUACACCCCCCCCGGUCAA